GGUGUCCAUUUUGUAGCUCAGUGGUAGACAGCAUCUGCUUUGAAUGUAGAAUGUCCCAGGUUCAACCACUGGCAUUUCUA